ACCCUUUUUAGUGUCCUCUGGAAACACUUCCGUUGUCGUUCUGUGGGAAAACCAUAUCAGAUACAAAGUAUUAUUCGAAGCACCGUAUUUUAUAUGUAUUAAAAACAUGUCUGGAGAGGACCUUCUUUGUCACAGUCCUCCAUGCUCUGGUAUACCAGUCGGCCAACCGCCGCCAUUUUGGAAGGUGCCGGAGCUUCCGUCACCACGUGAGGAGGAAGCGAGUGAGGAGAGAAGACGGAGCAAUCGAGCGGAGCGGCUGAAGCAGGCGAGCCAGGGCCGUCACUCAACUCUACUCGUCUUGACUACCCGGGCUAACUUUAGCUACAUGUGCUGAGGUCGAGGGGAAACUGAUCUCAACUGCAACAAUGCCGACAGUUACUUUACCGCCGAAAGAGAACGCUCUCUUCAAGAGGAUUUUGAGUAUGUGACUGAGCUUACGGACCUCCUCUUUAACGAGGUCAUCCAUGACCCUUCACGCUUUGUGGCUGAGAUGAAUGCAGUGGCUGUUCCUGGAUUCCUGUGCUCACAGUAUGAGUGACCUGAGAAAUCAGACGCAAUUGCUAGCCAUGUGUCCAGGCUCAGCUGUCCAGGUGGGGUGGAAAUAGCUCCAACACAUGGUGACUCAACACCCAUCUAACCCCACAACCCCUUCCCUAAUCAGCUGUUUUCUGCCAGCAUCUGUCAUCGUCUUCCUCCAGCAUAUCUGCCUGCCUCCUGCCUCGGUCCGUCCCUGCACUAGAGCCCCACCAGCCUCCAUGUUAAAAAAAGUUAAGUUGUGACAUACAUACAAACAUGUCAUUACUCAAAAACAGCUGUCCAAGACAUCUAUGAUAUUUAUUAAAAGUGUAUUGAAUGCAUAAUUGUGUACAUAACAAAUUACCAAACAAUUACAAUAUAAAAGACUUUAAAUUUAAAUGGGAGGUUUAAAGUCUGUGCUCCUGAUGAAUACGGAGUACAACACAAGAAGGUAUGACAACCCUGUUGUGCUUUCCCAGGUUUCUCCGGCACGACUGUAAUGACAAAAUAACAACAAAAUGUCACGUCAUGUUGGAAUUUUAUAUUUAUCUAGGUUUGCUUUGGGUCCGUGGUCUUCUUUCUGAUAAUUACAAUACAAACGGACACUGUGGAGUUGUUGUUAUCAAUAUCUGGUGUCUUUUUAGAACACUUAUGUUGACAGAUUAAUUCUCGCCAGCAGGUGGUGCUAUGAAUGUAAUAUUAAUAUGUCACAGCCAAGUGCCUGAAAAAUAUGCUUUGUUUAAUUUCUUCCAGUUCUACUCUGUCAGCAUUUUCAAGGAAUCGUCUCAGUAAAGAAGACAAUACACCUCUGCUUAGCUGCGCUCAUGUCGAACAGUGUGGGCAGAACAACCCCUCUGAAAGUAGUUAAGUUUAUGUCUUUGAUUGAUACAUUAAACAAAAACAGCCUUAGUCUUAUUUUUUUCCUUUUUUCCUUCCUUUCAGAACGGGACCCCAGAAGACGCCAGUUUGAGUCAUUAACCCGCAGUCUGCCUCAAAUCAUUUUGGCUGUAUGAAUCGACCAGGACAUAGACAGCAGUUGUUAUUUUUUUCCAGUGAUUUUCCACAACCAUCGAGCAAAAUUUUCAGAAUGAUUAUCCCAUUAAUGCAUGUUACUAAAUCUACAUUUAAUCGUUCCGGUAGUUUUGUGCUUUCUCGUCUCUUAUCUCUCCUUCUGUCGCUUUCAGCAGGUAUUUCUGCCUCAGGAGCUGCAGAGUCUGGAUCUGUGAUUGCUGGAACACUGCUGCUGUCUCUAUGGUGGAGAGGAGGUUGCGUGGCUCAGAUCCUACUUAGUGGGCAUCACCUGUAGCUGCGUAAUUGUCCUUCUGGAUCCAUCCAGAUCCUCUUCACUUAUGUUUUACAAUCUACAUUUUGUCAUCAUAAUUGUUUGUACUAUUUGUACAAACAAUACAUUUGUACAAACAAUACAUAUA